GCAUCUACACAGCUGCUACAACCCAAGCCAGAAGAUUCCUCAAAAACCUGGAUAACAACUCUAUGGAACAGGCCCUAAGGGACCCGAUUUGAAAAGAUGCCCACCUUGAUCUACUGCUUAGUAACAGAGAGGAUCUUGUGGAAAAGUGUCAGCAAAACCUCAACUCUGGACAUAAGGACAGCAGACUUCAGGCUGCUCAGGGAAUUAAUGACAGAUCAAGGGAGUCUCAGUGCCCUGAGCUGGAGGACCAUGACUGCAGGAAUUAUUAACUCCCAGCUGACCCCGAAAAUGUGAAGGAUCUGCUGUUCCAGCUGGACGCCUCCAAGUCUAUGGGGCCUGAUGAAUUCAUCCAAGAAUCCUUAAAGCACUAGUUGAUGUCAUCCCAAAGUCUCUCUUGAUGAUUUUUGAACAGUCUCAGGAAUCUGCAGAGGUCCCAGCUGACUGAAAGCUGACAAAGGUUGUCCCAGUUUUCAAGAAGAGCAAGAAGGAGGAACCUGGCAACUACAUGCCACAUACAGUCUCACUUCAGUACCUGGUAAAAUCAUGGAAAAUACUUUUCUGAGAGGGGCAGAAAAACACCUGGAGGACAGUGCAGUCAUUAGCCACAGCUAACACAACUUCAUGACUGGAAAGUCCUGCUUGUCAAACCUGAUUUCCUUCUAUGACAGAAUAGCCCACCUAGCUGAUCUAAGAAAGCUAGUUGAAGUAAUCUUGUUGGGUUUCAGCAAAGAGCUUGAUACUGUCUCCUGCAGUAUCCUUCUGGACAAAACAUCCAGCACACAACUGGAUAACCAAGUUACAUGGUAGGGGAGCAAGAGGCUCACAGGUCAGCACAGAGGGUUGUGGUGAAUGGAGUGAUAUCAAACUGGCAACCAGACACUGGUGUGGUUCUGCAGGGUGGCACCCUUGGCCCAGCUCUCUUCAACAUCUUCAUUAACAGCUUGGACACAGGACCUGAAGAAACACUAAGUUUGCCUCCAACACUAAAUUGGGAAGAGCUGUUGACCUCCUCGAGAGUGGAGAGGCACUGCAGAGAGACCUUGAGAAAUCAGAGAAAUGGACAAUGGUCACAGCACCAAGCCUGACAGAGUUCAAGAAGGAUUUGAACAAUGGUCUCAGGAACUUGGUGUGAUUCUCGGGGUGUCGUGUGCAAGGCCAGGAGUUGGACUUAAUGAUCCUGAUGGGUGCCUCCUGACUCAGCAUAUUCUAUGAUCCUUUGAGACUAUGCUUGGAGGCUUUUUCUGCUCUUCAUGUCUCUCAUGUGAUACCUUUGGAGCAGAAAAUGUCAGAGCACCCCUUUCUCUCUUCACGGAGAUUUCCCUUCCCUAUUGCCACCCUGGAGGAUAGAUAACAGUUCUUCCAUGCAUGGAUGUAAUCCUUAGCCAUUACUUUGGUAAUCUUUGCCCAGAAUACAUUUGUCUUGGGGCAGAAACAUGAGAGAUGUUCUAGGCACCUUUCCCAGUUAUAUUUUUCCAGCAAUAUGCAUAGAAUUCAAUGUGUUCUUGCCAGUUUACAAUGCCUGAAAAUGAACUGUUUGUGGGUGGUCUUAAAUUCUGCCUGUGCAUUG